UAAAAAGCUAUGAGAAAGACGAGUAAAUUUGUCAUGCCUAACAGUGAACUAGCGACAGUGUGAAGCUAGUGCCCUCUGACUUAUUGAAAAACACUUUUGAGCAUGCUCGCUGAAAUAAAAUAUUAGAGUAAGUUGAGACGUUUCCGGUACGUUACCUCGCCGGUAGAAUAUGCUAGUAUUCUAUAGAGUCGGUCUAUUUAUUAGGCAAUUUGGGUGGUACCGCGGAAAAAGCCUUUCGUCCCUUGC
rnacentral:ncRNA from 1 species